AACGCACAUUGCGCUCCCUGGUAUUCCGGGGAGCAUGUCUGUUUGAGUAUCAUUUUCUUCUCUUAAGCUAAGCUACUUAGCCUAAAGGAUUUGAGCUCUCCGGUGGAGCUUUACUGCUUUACUGGUGGCUUGAAAUGUAGAUUUCUGUGGUAAUAGUUGUCCAUUCAAGGUCAUCUUUCCGCUGGUGUUAUUAGUUGGGUGUUUAAUUACAUUCAUUUUCUUACGCCGUAUAGUGGUUAGUUAGCCGGUCAAUUUCCGCAGGGAAACUCAGGAAAAUGUAUAAUUACAAAACUCUUUUGAUCUCAAAUCAGAUAGGAUUACCCGCUGAACUUAA
rnacentral:misc_RNA from 1 species